AUACGGAGGGUGCAAGCGUUAUCCGGAUUCACUGGGUUUAAAGGGUGCGUAGGUGGUUUUGUAAGUCAGUGGUGAAAGCCCGGAGCUCAACUCCGGAACUGCCAUUGAUACUGCUUAACUUGAAUCAAGUAGAGGUGGAUGGAAUAAUACAUGUAGCGGUGAAAUGCUUAGAUAUGUAUUAGAACACCGAUUGCGAAGGCAGUUCACUAUGCUUGUAUUGACACUGAGGCACGAAAGCGUGGGGAUC
rnacentral:rRNA from 1 species